UUUUUUCUCAUCAUCAUGGAUUUCAUCAGGAUCUUCUUCAGCAAGCUUGCGGAUCAUAUCAAGCGCCUUUCGGAUAAGCUUCUUCUUAAUUGUCUUUAAGCUGCUGUGUUGUUGAAGCAUUUCUCUUGAUACAUUUAGAGGCAAUGUGUCAGAGUCAACAAGACCC
rnacentral:sRNA from 1 species